rnacentral:rRNA from 1 species
GUGAAAGCGSCAACAGCUCAAAUUUGAAAUCUGGCCUCUUCGGGGUCCGAGUUGUAAUUUGUAGAGGGUGUUUCGGGCGCGAUGCCGGUCUAAGUUCCUUGGAACAGGACGUCGCAGAGGGUGAGAAUCCCGUACGCGACCGGCGAUCAAGCCUGUGUGAAGCCCCUUCGACGAGUCGAGUUGUUUGGGAAUGCAGCUCAAAAUGGGUGGUAAAUUUCAUCUAAAGCUAAAUAUUGGCCGGAGACCGAUAGCGGACAAGUAGAGUGAUCGAAAGAUGAAAAGCACUUUGGAAAGAGAGUCAAACAGUACGUGAAAUUGUUGAAAGGGAAGCGCUUGCAAUCAGACCGGUCCGGAGGCGAUCAGCCGCUGCUCGUUCAGCGGUGCACUCGCCUGCGAUCCGGCCAGCAUCGGUUUGGGCGGCGGGAUAAAAGUCCCGGGAAUGUAGCUUCUUCCGGGGAGUCUUAUAGCCCGGGUCGCAAUGCCGCCCGCCCGGACCGAGGACCGCGCUUCGGCUAGGAUGCUGGCGUAAUGGUUGCAAGCGACCCGUCUUGAAACACGG